rnacentral:rRNA from 1 species
GAUGAACGCUGGCGGCGUGCCUAAUACAUGCAAGUCGAGCGAACAGACGAGGAGCUUGCUCCUCUGACGUUAGCGGCGGACGGGUGAGUAACACGUGGAUAACCUACCUAUAAGACUGGGAUAACUUCGGGAAACCGGAGCAAAUACCGGAUAAUAUAUUGAACCGCAUGGUUCAAUAGUGAAAGACGGUUUUGCUGACACUUAUAGAUGUAUCCGCGCCGCAUUAGCUAGUUGGUAAGGUAACGGCUUACCAAGGCAACGAUGCGUAGCCGACCUGAGAGGGUGAUCGGCCACACUGGAACUGAGACACGGUCCAGACUCCUACGGGAGGCAGCAGUAGGGAAUCUUCCGCAAUGGGCGAAAGCUUGACGGAGCAACGCCGCGUGAGUGAUGAAGGUCUUCGGAUCGUAAAACUCUGUUAUUAGGGAAGAACAAAUGUGUAAGUAACUAUGCACGUCUUGACGGUACCUAAUCAGAAAGCCACGGCUAACUACGUG